CCUACGGGAGGCAGCAGUGAGGAAUAUUGGUCAAUGGGCGAGAGCCUGAACCAGCCAAGUCGCGUGAGGGAGUACUGCCCUAUGGGUUGUAAACCUCUUUUGUCGGGGAGCAAAAGCCGGACGUUUCCGGCUGUGAGAGUUCCCGAAGAAAAAGCAUCGGCCUAAUCCGGGCCCAAAGCCGCGGUAAUACGGGGGAUGCGAGCGUUAUUCGGAUUUUUUGGGUUUAAAGGGUGCGCAGGCGGAUUUUUAAGUCAGCGGUAAAAUCGUGGGGCUCAACCCCAUCCAGCCGUUGAAACUGGGGAUCUAGAGUGUGCGAGAGGUAUGCGGAAUGCGUGGUGUAGCGGUGAAAUGCAUAGAUAUCACGCAGAACCCCGAUUGCGAAGGCAGCAUACCGGUGCACAACUGACGCUCAGGCACGAAAGCGUGGGUAUCGAACAGGAUUAGAUACCCGAGUAGUC
rnacentral:rRNA from 1 species